rnacentral:rRNA from 1 species
GACGUAGGGCGCGAGCGUUGUCCGGAUUUAUUGGGCGUAAAGAGCUCGUAGGCGGUUUGUCGCGUCUGCUGUGAAAACUCGGGGCUUAACUCCGGGCCUGCAGUGGGUACGGGCAGACUAGAGUGCGGUAGGGGAGACUGGAAUUCCUGGUGUAGCGGUGAAAUGCGCAGAUAUCAGGAGGAACACCGGUGGCGAAGGCGGGUCUCUGGGCCGUAACUGACGCUGAGGAGCGAAAGCGUGGGGAGCGAACAGG